rnacentral:rRNA from 1 species
AUGGGAGCGCUCGAGGAGGCGCACCUCGCCGCCGUCGCCGCCUGCGGGUGCGACGAGGAGGAGGAGGAAGAUCUCCUGGUGGAGGUCGGCGGCGGGGAGGCGCCGGGGGACGCCAUGGAGCCGGCGGUGCGCGCGCUGCUGGCGGGGCUCGGCGAGGACGACCGCCGGGAGGGGCUGCGCCGGACGCCCAAGCGCGUCGCCAAGGCCUUCCGCGACGGCACCCGAGGUUACAGACAGAAAGUAAAAGACAUUGUGCAGGGUGCUCUGUUUCCUGAGGUUGGUGUUGACAAAAGGACUGGUUCUGCUGGAGGAACUGGAGGGCAAGUUGUUGUUCGUGAUAUCGAUCUUUAUUCAUACUGUAAAUCUUGCUUGCUUCCGUUCAGCAUACAAUGCCAUGUUGGAUAUGUGCCCUCCGGUGGAAGGGUCGUUGGGUUAAGCAAGCUUUCAAGGGUAGCUGACGUCUUUGCCAAGAGAUUUCAAAACCCUCAGAGAUUAGCUAAUGAAGUUUGUGGUGCAUUGCAUGCUAGCAUACAACCUGCUGGUGUUGCUGUUGCUAUGCAGUGCUGGCACAUACCGUUGCCGGAGAACUUUAAAUGCAAAAAUUCGGGAGCUUUGAUUAGAACUUCACAUUCAUCUCGCUCGGGAGUUUUUGAGGGUGAGAACAGCUCUUUUUGGAAUGAUUUUGUGGCUCUUCUUAAGCUUAGAGGCAUAGACAUGGAGAUGGACAGCCGUUCUGCUUCUUUAACUUGGUGCCCCUUAAGGCCUCAUGAGGUUCCGCUUUGCAAUGGGCACGCAAAGAGGAUUACAACUAAUGGUGCUAGCUCAGCAAAAUCGGCAUCCAUUCCAUCUAAUAUGGUUUCUGCUGUCAGCUCAAUGCUCUUGUCUCUUGGUGAGGACCCCCUCAGGAAAGAACUUCUAGGCAGUCCUCAGCGUUACGUGCAAUGGCUGAUGAGGUUCAGAGCAUGCAAUCUUGAUGUGAAGCUGAAUGGUUUUACAUUUAACAGUGCAAGUGUAUAUGAGAGACCAGGCGAAGAUGCUACUGAUCAUCGAGCAUUUAGUUCUGAGCUGCAUUUGCCAUUUUGUGCCCAGUGCGAGCACCACCUCCUGCCGUUCUACGGAGUAGUGCACAUUGGUUACUUUGGCAGUGGAGACGGUGAAGGGAUCAACCGCUCACAUUUUCAGGCUCUGGUUCAUUUCUACGGGUGCAAGCUUCAGGUUCAGGAAAGGAUGACAAGACAGAUAGCUGAAGCAGUUUAUUCCGUCUCACACCGUGGAGCCAUAGUUGUUGUGGAAGCCAACCACAUCUGCAUGAUAUCAAGGGGGAUAGAGAAAAUCAGGAGUAGUACAGCGACGAUUGCAGUUUUGGCAAGGCAGGUACUGCGACGACUCUUAUGGUUUGAAGUUCUCAUACAGCUGUGGCAUGGUGCCAUUUUACCAUUGCUGGUGGGAGCGACGAGUGUCUCGUCGUGUGGAAUGUUGUGUCUGAAGAAGAUGUAA